rnacentral:misc_RNA from 1 species
GAUGAAGAACGUAGCGAAAUGCGAUACUCGGUGUGAAUUGCAGAAUCCCGUGAACCAUCGAGUCUUUGAACGCAAGUUGCGCCCGAAGCCAUCAGGUUGAGGGCACGUCUGCCUGGGCGUCACAUAUCGUUGCCCAAUGCCUAUUGCAGUGCAAUAGGAAUUUCUAGGGCGAAUGAUGGCUUCCCGUGAGCGUUGUUGCCUCGCGGUUGGUUGAAAAUCGAGUCCUUGGUAGGGUGUGCCAUGGUAGAUGGUGGUCGAGUUAGAACGAUACCGAUCAUGUGCAUGCUCCCCAAAAUAUGGCCUCUAUGACCCACACGCGUCUUUUGACGCUCAUGACGAGACCUCAGGUCAGGCGGGGCUACCCGCUGAAUUUAAGCAUAUCAAUAAGCGGAGGA